rnacentral:rRNA from 1 species
AACGCGAAGAACCUUACCUACCCUUGACAUCUAAAGAAGACUGUAGAGAUAUGGUUGUGCCGAAAGGAACUUUAAGACAGGUGCUGCAUGGCUGUCGUCAGCUCGUGUUGUGAGAUGUUGGGUUAAGUCCCGUAACGAGCGCAACCCUUAUGCUUAGUUGCCAACACGUAAUGGUGGGGACUCUAAGGAGACUGCCGGUGAUGAACCGGAGGAAGGCGGGGACGACGUCAAGUCAUCAUGGCCUUUAUGGGUAGGGCUACACACGUGCUACAAUGGACAGUACAGAGGGCAGCGCAAGCGCGAGCUGUAGCUAAUCCCGCAAAGCUGUUCGUAGUCCGGAUCGGAGUCUGCAACUCGACUCCGUGAAGUCGGAAUCGCUAGUAAUCGCGAAUCAGAAUGUCGCGGUGAAUACGUUCCCGGGCCUUGUACACACCGUAGUAC